rnacentral:rRNA from 1 species
GGCGGACGGGUGAGUAACGCGUGAGAAUCUGCCUUGGGGUCGGGGACAACCACUGGAAACGGUGGCUAAUACCGGAUAAGCCUUUGGGUAAAAGAUUUAUUGCCCCAAGAGGAGCUCGCGUCUGAUUAGCUAGUUGGUGAGGUAAAAGCUCACCAAGGCAGCGAUCAGUAGCUGGUCUGAGAGGACGAUCAGCCACACUGGGACUGAGAACACGGCCCAGACUCCUACGGGAGGCAGCCGUGGGGAAUUUUCCGCAAUGGGCGAAAGCCUGACGGAGCAAGACCGCGUGAGGGAGGAAGGCUCUUGGGUUGUAAACCUCUCUUCUCAGGGAAAGAAGCUCUGACGGUACCUGAGGAAUCAGCCUCGGUUAACUCCGUGCCAGCAGCCGCGGUAAUACGGAGGAGGCCAAGCGUUAUCCGGAAUUAUUGGGCGUAAAGCGUCCGCAGGUGGCGAUUCAAGUCUGCUGUCAAAGCACGGGGCUUAACUCCGUUAAGGCAGUGGAAACUGAAU